rnacentral:rRNA from 1 species
AACGUAGGAGACAAACGUUAUCCGGAGUUACUGGGCGUAAAGGGCGUGUAGGUGGUUAUGUAAGUCUGGCGUGAAAUUUUUCGGCUUAACCGGGAAAGGUCGUCGGAUACUGCAAAACUAGAGGACGGUAGAGGCGUGUGGAAUUCCGGGUGUAGUGGUGAAAUGCGUAGAGAUCCGGAGGAACACCAGUGGCGAAGGCGACACGCUGGGCCGUACCUGACGCUGAGGAGCGAAAGCGUGGGGAGCGAACAGG